rnacentral:lncRNA from 1 species
UUUUUUUUUGUUUUCAAAACAAACUUCCCCAACUUCUAUUUUCUAGGGGCAUGGACCUUCGAAUGUUCUUUUUUCUUUUUCUUUUUCACUUGAAUUUCUAAAAUUCCCCAGUUUGUACUUUGGGAGCAUGGACUUUUCUUUUCAUUUUUUUUUCUGACUUUUGACUCUAAAAUUGAUUCCAAAAGAGGGUGAUCAAAGAAAAUAACACAUGCUCAAAAGGUGUAACAAAGGGUAUAAAGUGUUUGGGUAGCAGAACAAGGGCCUCCUAGCCUCUAGAGUGCCAAUCAUGGUUUCCUUUCGCGACACAGCAUUGAUGAACAUGUCUGUCUUAUUGGUGUGUCGUGGUCGGAAGACACUUUUCACCCAUUAAUGUCAAACUUUCCAAUAAACUUCAAUUGAUUCUUCCUCAAACCCGACCUUCACAAUGAUUUGAAGGUAAAGAUCAUUAACCUCCACGGGUCAUUUUAUUCGAGCUUAAUUCCAAAGUGUUUCAACUCUUUAUUCAUCCUCAAAUGUUCCUUUUUCUCAUUUAUCCAAUUCAAGCUUAAAUCCGUUUUCUAAGAUCUGGCCAAAAAUUCCGCAAGCAUGUCAUAUCACUAAAACUAGCGGGAAAAGAACUAAGCAUGGACAAACAACCUAAAAUCCGAGUUACAACCCUAAAAUAACCCGGCUAAUGAAAAUAGCAACAAAACGGACAGACAAGACUCACACAAACAAAAUAGAGGGAUAGAAGGGUUUGACUCAAUAAAACAAAUAAAAUCUGGAUCACACCCUGAAAUAACCCAGAUAAUAGAAAAAAUAUCAAAACAAGCUACCAAGAUUCCUUCCUAGUGAGGAGGGAAUGACUUUUCAAUUGCUAAGCUUGACAUUUAGCCAUAAAUUUGCUCAUCAGAAUCACCAUGGCCUUCUCCAAUUUCAGUCGGCAAGUUCCCGAGAGGAUUCUCAUACUCCAUGUCACCACACAUCAUCCCCACAAAGUGUACAUCAUCAUGUGCAUGUAAAGGAUUCUGCAUCAUAUUCUGGGUGUCAUUAUCUUGGAUCACAAUCAGUUUUUCCUGGAUCAUCCUUUCUAUUUCUCUUUUAAAAUCCCGACAACUUUCAACAUUGUGCCCCUGGGCAUUAGAAUGGUAUUCACACCUUUUAGAAGAGUCAAAGCUUUUUGCACAUGGGUCCACAUAAUUUGGAGGAAUAGGUGCAAUCAUGUCAUAAUGCUUUAAUUUCUCAAACACACUUGCAUAGGACUCUCCUAUUGGUGUAAAAUUAUCUUUCAACCUUUGUUCCCCUCUAUACCCCUGGCUUGGAUGUGGGUUAUAGGGCACUUAAAAAUUUUGUGAAGGCUGGUGGAGAUUUUGCGGUGCUGGUGCUCGCCUUAUGGGGUGUCUUGGUGGCUGCACAACAUACUGAAGUGGAGCAAUAGAGUAUUGUGGGUUCUGAGGUGGAUAGUAGUGCUCAGGGGAAUCAUCGAAAACCUGAUNNNNNNNNNNNNNNNNNNNNNNNNNNNNNNNNNNNNNNNNNNNNNNNNNNNNNNNNNNNNNNNNNNNNNNNNNNNNNNNNNNNNNNNNNNNNNNNNNNNNNNNNNNNNNNNNNNNNNNNNNNNNNNNNNNNNNNNNNNNNNNNNNNNNNNNNNNNNNNNNNNNNNNNNNNNNNNNNNNNNNNNNNNNNNNNNNNNNNNNNNNNNNNNNNNNNNNNNNNNNNNNNNNNNNNNNNNNNNNNNNNNNNNNNNNNNNNNNNNNNNNNNNNNNNNNNNNNNNNNNNNNNNNNNNNNNNNNNNNNNNNNNNNNNNNNNNNNNNNNNNNNNNNNNNNNNNNNNNNNNNNNNNNNNNNNNNNNNNNNNNNNNNNNNNNNNNNNNNNNNNNNNNNNNNNNNNNNNNNNNNNNNNNNNNNNNNNNNNNNNNNNNNNNNNNNNNNNNNNNNNNNNNNNNNNNNNNNNNNNNNNNNNNNNNNNNNNNNNNNNNNNNNNNNNNNNNNNNNNNNNNNNNNNNNNNNNNNNNNNNNNNNNNNNNNNNNNNNNNNNNNNNNNNNNNNNNNNNNNNNNNNNNNNNNNNNNNNNNNNNNNNNNNNNNNNNNNNNNNNNNNNNNNNNNNNNNNNNNNNNNNNNNNNNNNNNNNNNNNNNNNNNNNNNNNNNNNNNNNNNNNNNNNNNNNNNNNNNNNNNNNNNNNNNNNNNNNNNNNNNNNNNNNNNNNNNNNNNNNNNNNNNNNNNNNNNNNNNNNNNNNNNNNNNNNNNNNNNNNNNNNNNNNNNNNNNNNNNNNNNNNNNNNNNNNNNNNNNNNNNNNNNNNNNNNNNNNNNNNNNNNNNNNNNNNNNNNNNNNNNNNNNNNNNNNNNNNNNNNNNNNNNNNNNNNNNNNNNNNNNNNNNNNNNNNNNNNNNNNNNNNNNNNNNNNNNNNNNNNNNNNNNNNNNNNNNNNNNNNNNNNNNNNNNNNNNNNNNNNNNNNNNNNNNNNNNNNNNNNNNNNNNNNNNNNNNNNNNNNNNNNNNNNNNNNNNNNNNNNNNNNNNNNNNNNNNNNNNNNNNNNNNNNNNNNNNNNNNNNNNNNNNNNNNNNNNNNNNNNNNNNNNNNNNNNNNNNNNNNNNNNNNNNNNNNNNNNNNNNNNNNNNNNNNNNNNNNNNNNNNNNNNNNNNNNNNNNNNNNNNNNNNNNNNNNNNNNNNNNNNNNNNNNNNNNNNNNNNNNNNNNNNNNNNNNNNNNNNNNNNNNNNNNNNNNNNNNNNNNNNNNNNNNNNNNNNNNNNNNNNNNNNNNNNNNNNNNNNNNNNNNNNNNNNNNNNNNNNNNNNNNNNNNNNNNNNNNNNNNNNNNNNNNNNNNNNNNNNNNNNNNNNNNNNNNNNNNNNNNNNNNNNNNNNNNNNNNNNNNNNNNNNNNNNNNNNNNNNNNNNNNNNNNNNNNNNNNNNNNNNNNNNNNNNNNNNNNNNNNNNNNNNNNNNNNNNNNNNNNNNNNNAGAUUCAAUCUGGACAGCCUGAGUUGCAGCUUUGAGAACUGCUUGACUUAUAAUUUUGCCUGUCUUAAGGCCAUCCUCAACCAUUUCCCCAAUUUUGAUUGCUUCCGAGAAGGAUUUGCCCACUGCGGACAUCAUGUUUUGAAAAUAAUCUGGUUCUUGAGCCUGAAGAAAGACAGUGAUUAGCUCGUGGUCAUCCAUGGGUGGCUUAACUCUAGCUGCUUUCUCUCUCCAUUUAAUGGCAUAUUCCCUGAAACUUUCAGUUGGUUUCUUCUUCAGGUUUGAAAGGGAAUUGCAGUCUGGGGCGAUAUCGAUCUUGUAUUGGAACUGUUUGACAAAGGCCUGGGCCAUGUCAUCCCAGACAUGCCAGUGAGAGGUUUCUUGAUCCAUAAACCAUUCAGAGGCUACCCCUAUCAGGCUUUCCCCGAAAUAAGCCAUUACUAGUUCUUCUUUUCCCUCCACACCUCUUAGCUGAUUGCAAUACCUUUUCAGGUGGGCUAUGGGGUCUCCGUGUCCAUCAUACUUUUCAAAUUUGGGAGUCUUAAAACCAAGUGGCAAACGAACACCGGGGAACAUACAUAGAUCCUUGAAGGCAAUACUCUUCUGACCUGCCGACCCUUGCAUGUUUUUUAACUUUUGUUCUAAGCUUUUCACUCUUUGGGUCAUUUCUUCUUGUGCCAUCUUUCGGGUAGGCUUCUCUAUCUUUGAAGGAAGAUCAAAUAGAUACGAGUGGUACUCAGGAGAAUGGUAUUGUUCUUGCUGGGUAGAAAAUUAUGACUCAUGACUUUUCUUUUGUACCACUGUUGGCUGUGGGAUAGUGAAAACGGGCAUAACAAUAGUAAUUAUCUGAUUGGUUGUCAAUGGCACACUUUGGGAACGCGCAACAAAAGUUCCAGUUGUAGUCGUACAGUUGGGAUAAAGACUGAACCCAAAUGGAUAGGAUCGAUCAGACAAUAAGACAGGAGUGGUAAUAGCCGAGAUGGGUGUGAAUUUUGGGAAAACAUGAGAAAGGGGUGGUCCCUGACCAUUGGCCGAUACUUGACACAUUUUAGUCAUUUGCUGUUUCGGUAUUUUAUUUUUCUCAACCACAGUAGACUCUUGUUGAACCCUCUGACCCCGAGUCUCUUGACCACUCGUAACAACUUCAAUGUCAGUUGUCAAUGACAUUUUUCCUUUGGAUUUUGUGUUGCCAGCUUGCCACAAACUGACAACCUCAAACUUUCUUCUAUGAUUCAAAAUAAGAGACACGUUAGAAUGGACUCAAUCGGUCCUUAUUAUCAUCAUCAUUUUUUUUUUCAUUUUUUCAUUUUUUUUGGUCAAUCGAACCUGAUGUGGGUUGCCUACGUAUCAUGUGGGAACAUGAAUCAGAUCGUGCAUAGUUCGGAAAGAUCAAGAAUAAAGCAAAUAAACUAACUCUUUUUUUUUCUAAUUUCCGAAAGUCAAGAACAUUAUUAAAGAAGAAAAGAAAAUAAUUUUUGAANNNNNNNNNNNNNNNNNNNNNNNNNNNNNNNNNNNNNNNNNNNNNNNNNNNNNNNNNNNNNNNNNNNNNNNNNNNNNNNNNNNNNNNNNNNNNNNNNNNNNNNNNNNNNNNNNNNNNNNNNNNNNNNNNNNNNNNNNNNNNNNNNNNNNNNNNNNNNNNNNNNNNNNNNNNNNNNNNNNNNNNNNNNNNNNNNNNNNNNNNNAAUCCUGCAUGAGGCUGUGUUAUUCUAAGUUUAAAUCCUGGGUGUAUUGUUCUAGACCUGGCUUACCCGAGCGGACAACUCGAGUUGGGGAGGGGGGGGGGAGAGCGUAUCGGGAAUAUAGAAGCUUCACCGGCUUUGCAACUUUUCCGAACCUCGUUCUAAAAUUAGGAUAUGAAUCUAACAGAAAAGAAGUCACGCGAAGCGCACGCUUCCCAGAAAAUUUAGAAGACUCAGAGAGAAGAAAGGUUUUCGUAACAGUUUAUAUAUAGUUCAUAACAAUAUCAAAGCGGUAAAGAGAGGCAAUUAGCACAUUAGGCUCAAACAAGUAAUAUCAGACAAUCAUGAAAGCCAAGCAUAACAGUUAUCUAAGCUCGAAUUCUGAACCCUGAACCAGAGAUUCUGGGUUCUUGUCCCCAGCAGAGUCACCAGAGUUGUCACACCUCCUUUUUCCCGAGGGGAUAUGGGAAUAGAGAGUUUUUCCAAUUAAAGUGACAUUAAUCGAAAUGGGAUUAUUUAAUCAUUCAGAGUCGCCACUUGGAAUAAUUUAUGGUGUCCCAAGUCACAGGUUUAUUUUUAAAUCCCAAAUCGAGAAAAUUGACUCUUAUUUAUGGUCCGCGAACACAGAAGACCGGGUAAGGAAUUCUGUUAACUCGAAAGAAGGUGUGAGGCACUCCCGAGUUCUGUGAUUUUAGCACGGUCGCUUAACAAUUAAUACUUGGUUAAUUAUCUGAUUCAUUACAUUGUUUAAAAACUUAUUGUGCAUUUUACCUUUAAAAACGCUUUUCGUACUUAUGGAAUUUAUUUGAACAAGUCGCGAUAUUGUGCACUUGUCAUUUGGUACAUGUUGCAAACCGCGCCACAUGAAAUGCACCCGCGAUUUACGACAUGUUUAUUUUUAUUAUUUGAAGUUAUGGUUGGGUCACAUGAAAUGCACACCCAAAUUUGGAUUUAUGUAUCGUGACCAUACCACGGGAACCGUACCCAUGGCCACUAUAAUUAUUAAUCACGCCUAAAGCAACUAGCGAUAUAUAGUUGUUUAUUCAACUGUUUGAGAUCAUGUACUGGGGUCUAUAGCUAAGGAGUCAAUGUUGGGAUAAAUUACAGAUAAGGUUGAAGAACUUAAUGACGGGAAUUUCUGAGCCAUGGAAGUUUGAAUUAAUUGCCAACGUACAUACCAACAGACUAAAUUGAUGGAUGAAAUUGGAUCACAAUCUAACUGUUGAGGAAUUUCGCAUGCAUAACCGGAAAUGAAUUAAUAGCCACUUUAGACAUUGCAGUGAUAGCCACUUUAGAGUAAUAGCCAAUUUUAGCCUUCAUUUUCCAGAUAAUUAAUCAACUCAAAUGCUAAAACUUACAAUAACAGAUACACAUAACAAGUCUAAGAACCAGAACAGAUUUAGAACAUAAUGAUUUCAGAACUUAACAAAACUUAACAGUAGAAUCAUAUUCAAUUAAUCAUAUUCAUAUUUUAGCUACUAACUUUCAUCGGUCAAACAUUCACAUGUACUGCCACGAAGGAUGGAAUUAAUCUUUGAUUCUAAGAAUGAUCCAAACAAUAGCAAUUAAGAAGCAGACAUGUCUCAAAUCUGAAGACAGAUAUGAUGUUAUAAUCGAAAGGUGAUAUUCAAUUAAUACUAUGGACAUUACAUGAAGCAAGAAGCAAAGAGGGGGUACCUGGAGAGCAAGUCUACAGCUCCAAAAACCAGAUAAAAGGCGAAGAAAUCGGCUGAUUGGUGCCUCAAUGAAGUAAACCUUCUUCAAUAAAGCAAGACUUGUACAAUCUGAGUAUCUUUCAACCAGCAAAAAUCAAACUUCUAAAUGCAGUGAAAUCAGCGACUUCAAGUGAAUUUACAAUUCAAAUGCUCAGACUUUUUUGAAGCUCACAAGCAACAAGAUCGCGAACAGAACCUCGGCAGGCGACGGACUGACCGAACUUUGCCGGAGAAACUCAAAUCUCGCCGACAAACUCGAACUCUACUCAACCCGGAGAACAAUGAAGCUCAAAGUGCUGACUGGAAUUGAAAUUUAGUGCAUUUUCGGGGUUACGGCGGGGCCGAUUUGAGUUGGAUUUUUUAUUUUAUUUUGAAGCUAUUUUCAGCUAGUUCUUAUGGUGAGAAGGACAGUGGUUUAUCGUUCAAGCACAGUUGAAUAUCAGUGAUUUUUUUUGAGGUUUCAGUGGAGAUAAGGAAGAAUGAGAAGAUGGAAAGCUACUGAUUUUUCUUCAAAGGAGGUGUGGCCAAUUUUUUUCCCUCUGUCCGGUGGUCCUCCCCCUUUUCGUUCUCUGUUUUCCCCGUUCCCUCUCUAAUCUCCUUAUUUUCAGAUCUAUUCCUCUUUUACCCUUGCGUGUGUCCGUGUGUUUGUCUAGGGUAGGUGUUAUUUGUAGGAAAUUGCUAGAAAAGUGCAUGUGAAUUAGUUAUCAGAUGAUGAUAAGAGAGAAUCUUUUGCCAUGUGACAAUUUUCCAUUGGCUCCUUUUUUUAUCUCUUUUUUUUAAGGUAAUCUAAAAAUUUAAAUUACUACACUAAUAUUUUAAACUAGAUAAAAUAUAAUAAACUACUAAGAAAAGUUAUAAAAUUAUUAGUCUUACCAAAUUAAAAGAAACAUAUAUUUUUUGUAAUUUUUCUUUUCUUUUUGCAAAUAAAACACAACUAAUAUAUAAAAAUGUGACUCUUUUUAUAUGAUUUCAAUUUUAUCAAAUAAACCUACUAAAAUAAGUGAAAUAAAGGUUAAAAUAUGUAGAUUAAACUUAAAAUUAUUAACAACUAAAAAGUGUUGAAAAAUCUCAAAUAUAGUCAAAAUUUAGGUGCUCACAGUAUGUAGCUCGGUGCCUAAACUGUAUGAGCAUCAGCGACCAGGUGGAUUGCUUCAGAAGCUAGAGAUUUCAGAUUGGAAAUGGGAGAAGAUUAUUAUUGAUUUUAUUGUCGGGCUCCCGCGGACUCAGAGAAAGUUUGAUGCAGUUUGGGUGAUUGUGGAUAGGUUGACCAAGUCGGCUCAUUUCAUUCUAGUGAUGACUACAUAUUCUUCUGAGCAGAUGGCUCGAGUUUAUAUCCGUGAGAUUGUCAGACUUGAUGGCGUGCCGGUACCCAUCAUUUCUGACCGGGGUACGUAGUUUACAUCGCAGUUCUAGAGAGUCGUACAACAUGAGUUAGGUACUCGGGUUGAGUUGUGCAUAACAUUUCACCCUCAUACAGAUGGGAAGUCUGAGUGCACUAUUUAGAUAUUGGAGGACAUGCUCCGUGUAUGUGUGAUGGAGUUUGGGGAUUCUCUGGAUCUGUUCUUGCCGCUUGCAAAGUUUGAAAACAACAACAGUUACCAGUCGAGCAUUCAUAUGGCCCCGUAUGAGGCUUUAUAUUAUAAACGGUGUCGGUCUCUAGUACAUUGGUUUGAGUCGGGCGAGGCUAGGCUAUCGGGUACAUACUUGGUUCAGGAUGUUUUCGAAAAGGUUAAAUUGAUUCAGGAUCAACUUCGUGUAGCCCAAUCUAGAUAGAAGGGUUAUGUGGAUCAGAAGGUUCGUGAUGUUGCAUUCAUGGUUGGGGAGCGGGUCUUGCUCCAGGUUUCUCCCAUUAGGGGGUUAUGAGGUUCGGGAAGAAGGGAAAGUUGAGCCCUAGGUAUAUUGGACCGUUUGAGAUACUUGAGAGGAUUGGAGACGUGGCCUACAGGCUUGCACUACCACCUAGUCUAGCUGCAAAUCAUCCAGUAUUCCAUGUUUCUAUGCUCUGGAAGUAUCAGGGCGAUCUGUCUCAUGUGUUAGACUUCAACUCAGUCCAGUUGGACAAGGAUCUAUCUUAUGUUGAGGAGCCGGUAGCCAUUUUGGACAGGCAGGUUCGAAAGUUAAGGUAGAAAGACAUUACUUCAGUGAAGGUUCAGUGGAGGGGUCAUCCAGUCGAGGAGGUGACUUGGGAGACCGAGCACGAUAUGUGUAGCCACUAUCCUCAUCUAUUCACCACUUCAGGUAUGUCUCUAUACUCGUUCGAGGACGAACGUUUGUUUUACGAGGGGGAGGAUGUAAAGACCUGGCUAGUCAUUUUGAGUAUUUUAACCCUGAUCCCCUAAUUUAUGCUCCCUCUAUGUCAUAUUGUGGUUAUGUGACUUUCUGGGGUGCUUAGUUUCGGGUUUGGGGGAGUUUCAGAGUAAAAUGGGACACAUAAUCCCUAAGUUGGAAGUUUAAGUCGUAGGAGUUGACCGUAGUAUGACUUGUGUGAAGACGACUCUGGAAUAGAGUUUUGAUGGUAUAGAUAGCUACGUAUGGUGAUUUUGGCCUUAGGAGCAUUUACGUAUGUUGAUUUGGAGGUCUGUAGGUCGUUUCGACAUGAUUUCGAGAAACAUGGAAAAUUUAAGGAAUUUCGAAAGUUUGACCGAAAAUGGACUUUAUUGAUAUCGGGCUCGGAUCCCGAUUAUGGAAAUUGGAAUAGGUCUGUAGUGUCAUUUAUGACUUGGGUGCAAAAUUUGAGGUCAAUCAGAGUUGAUUUGGUAUGAAUUGGCAUCAGUUUUGGAAUUUGGAAGUUCAUCAUUUCUUAGGCUCGAAUCGAUGUGAGAUUCAUGAUUAUAGGGUUGUUUGAUGUGAUUCGAUGCUUCGAGCGUAUUCGUAUGAUAUUUUAGGACUUGUUUAUAUGCUUGGUUGAGGUCCCAGGGCCUCGGGUGUAAUUCGGACCAUGUUCCGCACAUUUCGGGUCAUUUAGGAAUACCUGAAGUUCUAGUUUCUUUUAGGUCUGGUUUCCUUCCAUGCGAUCGCGAGGUUUGGUCUGCGAUUGCAAAGGGAUAUUUGUGGACUCUUGGUUUUUACUCUUCACGUUCGCAGAGAGUGGGAAGCAAUAGCGAAAGGUUGGUUCCCUGUGAAUCGCGAACGCGUGGAGAAGGUUGCGUUCACGUAGAGGAAUUUGGGGGCAGCACGCCCACACACUUUGUUCAUUGCAAUCGCUUGUAGGAACCGCGAUCGCGUAGCUCGAUGAGGCAGUGCUUCACGUUCGCAUGGAAAAUCUCACGUUGCAUAUAAGGUUUAGAGCUGAUGGAAUUUUUGUUCUUCGCGAUCGCGAAGGAAAUGUCGCGAUCGCGAUGAGUAAUUAACUAGGCAGUAGACUUACGUUCCAAAAUCGAGGGUUUAUUUCAUAUUUCACAUUUUGAACAAAGAGAGCUGGGUUUGAGGCAAACUUUCGAGGGUUUUUCAGAGGGAUUAUUGAGGUAAGAAUUCCUAACUCGAUUUUGGUUAAAUUACACUAAUCUAUCACUAUUGUUUUCAUGUAAUUAAGGAAUGGAGUUGGAAAAAUUGGGGAAAAGUGGUACAACUUCUUAGACUAAGUUUUUGGGUUUUGAACGGCAAAAUGAGGUCAGAUUUGGAUAAUUUUUGUAUGGUUGGACUCGAUAUCGAAUGGGUGUUCGGAUUUUAUAAUUUUGGUUGGGUUUCAAGGCGCGGGCCUGGGUUGACUUUUUGGGUCGAUUUUUCAAUUCUUUGCAAAUAUCGUAAUUUCAAUGUUUGAAUUAAUAUCCUAUAGUUAUAUUUAUAGUAUGAAAUUAUUUUGGAUAGAUUUGAGCGGGGAGUUGACUUUUUGAUAUCGCAGUCGGAAUCUAAUUCUGAAAAUUUUCAUAGAUCCGUUAUGUCAUUUAUGAAUUGUGUGCAAAAUUUCAAGUUAACCGGACUUGAAUUGAUAAGUUUCAGCAUCGAAUGUAGAAGUUGGGAGUUCUUAGUUUCAUUAAGCUUGAAUUAGGGGUAUGAUUCGUGGUUUUAGCGUUGUUUGAUGUGAUUUGAGGUUUCGACUAAGUUUGUAUGAUGUUUUAGGACUUGUUGUGUGUUUGGUUGAGGUCCCGGGGGUCUCGGGUGAGUUUCGGAUGGCAAACGGAUCAAAUUCGGACUUGGAAGAAAUCUGGAAAUUUCUGCCUUCUGGUUCAAUCGCACCUGCGAAAUUUUUCUCGCAAGUGUGAGCUCGUAGACGCGAGCCUGGCAAGCGCAGAAGCAGACGAGGGGCUGGUGAGGCAGUGGUCGCAGGUGCGGACGGGUGGUCCGCAGAAGCGGACAGCUUCUCGCAGAAGCGAAUCCGCAGAAGUGAUGAAGCCGAAUAAGCUAAGGUAUUAUCGCAUCUGCGAGACCGCAGAUGCAUCUAAGAAUCCUGCAGAAGCGGAAACCCCUGGACAGUACAAAAACAGAGGGGUUCCGAGUUUUUGCCAUUUUUGGGCAUUUCAAUCUCGGGCUAGGCGAUUUUGAGCGAGGUUUUCAUGGGAAUUCUUGAGAUAAGUCACUUGUGAUCAUUUCUACUCUAUAAUAUUGAAUUAUCAUUGAAUAAUCCGACUAGAUUAUGUGUUUUUGAGGUGUAAAUCGGGAAUUUGGGCCUAGGGAUUUGGAAAUAAGAUUUGAUGAUUUGAAGGUCUAGUUGAUGUCGGAAUUUGGUAAAAUUUAUAUGGUUAGACUCGUGGUUGAACGUGAGUUCAUAUUUUGUAACUUUUGUCAGGAUCCGAGACGUGGGCCCCACAGGCAAGUUUUGGAGUGCAAUUUCGGAUUUUAAAGGAAAAUUAGUAUUUUUAUAUGGAAUUAAUUCCUAUAAUUUGCAUUGACUGAAUCAAAUUAAUUAUGACUAGAUUCGAGGCAUUUGGAGAUCGAUUUGCGAGGCAAGGGUAUAGCGGAGUAAGAAAUUACACGUUUUGAGGUAAGUAACAUUUCUAAACUUGGUUUUGAGGGUGUGAAUCCCCGAAUUUGGUGUUAUAUAAAUUGUUUGGAGGUGACACCCAUGAUAGGUGAUGAGCGUGUGGCGUGCACCAUAGAAAUUAUGAUUUGAAUAAAUCUUGUAAAGUUGUAAAAUUAAAGAAUCAUGUUAUUAACUUAACAUUUACCACGUGUUAAGGAAAUUGAGCUGGGUCUCUUAUUAAAGAUCGUGUUUAGGCUAUGUGCCGGUAUUUUGGGACCCACAUGGGUCGUGUUACUGGUGAAUUAAUUGUUUUAAAAAUGUACAUUUCACACUCAGUCAUAUUCGUCCAUUGUGAGAGGAUAUUUAUGGGAUCGGGACUGCCCGCCUGCAGUAGACCAUAUUGGCUUUAUAUAUAUUAUAAUUAUAUGGAUCGGGGUUGCCCGCCUCAGUAGGCCAUAUCGGCUUUAUUACUAUAUGGAUCGGAGCUGCCCGCUUGCAGUAGGCCUUAUAGGCUUUAUUAUUAUACGGAUCGGGACUGCCGCCUGCAGUAGGCCAUAUCGGCUUUAUAUCACGCUUGGGCUGAAAGAGCCCCUCCGGAGUCUGUACAUACCCCCAAUGAGCGUAGAUGAUUUAUAUAUUCAGGAUGGACUUCCCAGGGCAUGGACUUGCCUUACAUAUUUAUAUUGUGAUAAAUUUUUCUGGACAUGGAUCUUAUCCGUAUCAUUUACAUUUGGGGAUAAAUUUCCCAGGGCUGGAUUGGCCAUAUACAGUACUGAGUCACCGAAUGAAUUGUGACCAGUAGUACAUGAGGUCUUUCCACUGAGAUGUCAUAUUCCUCAUAUCAUGCAUUAUUUAUCUAUUUUUCUUGUACUGAGUUUAACUGUUGAACUUGAAAUGCCUACAUUCCUGCACCAUUUAUUUUCAUGUACUGGACUGUACCUGUGGAGCUCGUCACUACUUUCAGCCCAGAGGUUAGUCUUGUUACUUAUUGAGUUGGUUGUACUCAUACUACACUCUACACCUCGUGUGCAGAUCUAGGUGCUUUCGGACAUGGCGACUGUUAGACCUCAGUGUGUUACCAGUUGGAGACUAUAAAGGUAGUUGCUUGGAGUUCGCUGACCUUGUCUCUCUUUCCUUCAGUUAUUGUACUGUUCUAUACUUUCAGACAGUGUUUGAUCAGUCAGACUUUGUAUUCAUAUUAGAUGCCCAUAUACUCAGUAACACCAGGUUUUGGGAGUGUUUAUAUCUGUAUUUGUGAGAUUUUUUUCGCUGAAUUUAAAUAUUAUGUUUCAAACUUAAAAGACAUGGUGAUGUAUUGAGAUUGUCGGCUUGCCUAGUAUUGAUAUAGGUGCCAUCACGACAGGUGAGAUUUUGGGUCGUGAUACUUUGUGUGGGGGAACUUCCCCUUAGGAUUGGUGUUACUUGUGAUAAUUGUGAUGUGUAAGAGCCGUGUACGCAAGGUGACGAGUAUGUACACUGGAUAAAUGCAGAAAAUUACCCAUUUUUAGCUAUGUAAAAUUCCUUCCAUGCCUUAAUUGAGUUACUUUAACAUGUUAUAGUCUUCAUUUUUACUCUAAUUUCACAUGUCUAAUUGUCUUAUCUCUUACUUGCUAAUUUCUCUACAUGUUUAGUUGAAAUCCUUUUUUCUCUUAUUCCAUAUUCAUUAUUUAAUGGUGGUAUAAGGUCUGGGUGUUGAAACGUAUGUGGUGAGAUAAGGUAGGAUUGAUACGCAUGGCUAGUAGGGGAACUACUAGAAGCCAUGCAGUAUGAUAAGGUGGAUAAAACGCGGAGUGCUAUUUUGGGAAAAAUAAUUUUUCAAAACUAAAUGUAAAGGCUCUUGUUGAUUUUUCUCUAUUUGAUGUAUUUGUCUUGGUUGCCUGUUUCUUUAACAUGUAAAUCCUUAUUUCCCUCCGUGUUGUAUUAACUGUCUUGACUAUGCAUUGUUAGCUUUCUUUAAAUUCCUUAUUGUUUCAUUCCAUUGUCAUUAUCAUUAUAUCGUUAUAUAUUUCAUCUUGUUUCUUAUUAUCUCUAGUAGGGCUUUGACCUGACCUCGUCACUACUCUACUGAGGUUAGGCUUGGCACUUACUGGGUACCGUUGUGGUGUACUCAUCUGCCCUCGUCUGCAGGCCUCAGAGUCCCAUUCUAUCAUGUUCUUCCUUAUUUCAUUACACUAUUAUAGAUAGUGAUGUACAGGAUUGUUCAGAACUGUUACUUAGAGCUUGUAACUUAUAUUUCACCAUGUUUUGGGAGUUGUACGUAUUGAGUUACAGAUUUUAUUUAUGAAAUUGCUGAAGUUUUGAGAUUCUAAGUUGUAUUUCAAUUACUUCGCAUGUUGUUAGGCUUACCAAGUAUUAGAGAUUAGGUGUCGUCACGACAUCCUACGGAGGGACUUGGAGUGGUGACGAGUUGGUAUCAGAGCUCUAAGUUCAUAGGUAUUAUGAGUCACAAGCAGGUUUAGUAGAGUCUCGCGAAUCGAUACAGAGAUGUUUGUACUUAUCUUCGAAAGCAUAUGGAAGUUUGGAUGGAACUUGGCGUCGUGACACCGGGCCCCAAACCCGGACUACAUAUGAUUUAUCUGGACCAUAAAAAUAAUCUAAGGAACAUUGGCCACCGCCCUGCCAUGACCGUUACUCGUUUUUAGUAUUUUAGGCCUAAAUCGAAAAUUCAAACCGAUAUUCAUAUGUUUGUGUGCUCUAGCCCACGCCUUUCGUGUGGGCCCGGCCCCCCGACCCGAACCACAUAAAAUUUAUCUAGACCAUCGAAAACAACCUACGAAACACUGGUCACCGCCCCGCCAUGGCCGUUCUGCAUAUUUUGGCAUUUUAGGGCCGUAAAACGAGAAUUCGGCCCGAUUCCCAUAUUUUCGUGUGCUAUAGCCCAGGCCUUCCGCAUGAGCCUGGGCCCCCGAACUCGAACCGGAUAAAAUUUAUUCGGACCAUUAAAAAUUACCUAAGGAAUAUUGGUAACCCCCCCCCCCCCAAUGAUCGUUCCUUGUGUUUUGGCAUUUUAGGGCCGUAAAGCAAGAAUUUGGCCCAAUCCCUAUAUUUUUGUGUGCUAUAGCCCACGCCUUUUGCGUGGGCCCGGGCCCCUGGACCCGGACAACCCUAAAUUUAUCCGGACCAUCGAAAAUGGCCUAAGGAAUAUUGGUCACUGCUAUACCGUUCCUCAUUCUUUGCGGUUUUAGGGCCAUAAAACGAGAAUUAUGCUCGAUUCUCGUAUUUGUGUGCUAUACGAUCGAAAUGACCUAAGGAUCAUUGGUCACCGCCUCGCCAUGACCGUUCCUUAUUUUUGGCGUUUUAGGGUGAUAAAAGAAGAAUUCAGCCCGAUUCGUAUAUUUUAGUGUUAUAGCCCACGCCUUCACGUGUGACCGGACCCCGGAUCUAGACCGCCUAAUAUUUUUCUGGACCAUCCAAAACGACCUAAGGAACAUAUCGCCCCACCAUGACCGUUCCUCUUUUUUGGCAUUUUAGGGUUAUUCCCAUAUUUUUGUGCGGUAUAGCUCAUGCCUUUCGAGAGGUACUGGACCACCUAUAUUUUUUCUAGACCAUCAAAAAUGACCUAAGGAACAUUAGUCACCGCCCCGCCAUGAAUGUUCCUCAUUUUUAGCGUUUUAGAGCCAUAGAACGAGAAUUCGAUCUGAUUCUCUUAUUUCCGUGUGCUAUAGCCCACGCCUUAUGCGUGGGCCCGAACCCCCGAACCCAGACCACCUAAAUACUUUUCGUACCAUAAAAACCGACCUAAGGAACAUUGGUCACCUCCCCGUCAUGAUCGUUCCUCAUAUUUUGGCAUUUUAAGGUCAUAAAAUGAGAAUCUAGUCUCAUUCUCAUAUUUUUGUGUGCUAUAGGCCACACCUUCCUCGUAGGCUCGGGCCACUCAAUACGAACCACAUAAAUUUUAUCUGGGCCAUCAAAAAUUACCUAAGGAAUAAUGGUCACCGCCCCACCAUGAUCGUUCCGGAUGUUUUUGUGUUUUAGGGCCAUAAAACGAGAAUUUGACCUGAUUCCCAUAACUUAGUAUGUAAUAGCCCAUGCUUCCCGCGCGGUCCGUUGCCCACGAAUCCGGAUCGCCUAAAAUAUUUUCAGACCAUAAAAAAUGCCUACAGAGCAUUGGUCACCACCCUUCCAUGAUCGUUCCUUAUUUUUUGGCAUUUUAGGGUCAUAAAACGUGAAUUCGGCUCGAUUCCCAUAUUUUCGUGUGCUAUAGACCACGCCUUUUGUGUGGGCCCGGGCCCCCAGACCAGGACCGCCUAUAAUUUUUCCUCACCAUCGCAAAUGACCUAAGGAACAUUGGUCACCACCCCUCCAUGAUCGUUCCUACGUUUUUGGCGUUUCAGAGCCAUAAAACGAGAAUUCGGCAUGAUUCCCAUAUAUUCGCGUGGGCCAGGGCCACCAAACCCAUAUCGCCUAAAAAUAUUUCUGACCAUCACAAAUUACCUAAAGAACAUUUUUCAUCUCCCUGUCAUGACCGUUCCUAAAGUUUUGGCGUCUUAGGGCCAUAAAAUGAGAAUUCUGCCCGAUAUCCAUAUUUUCGUGUGUUAUAGCCCACGCCUUCCUCAUAGGCCCGGGCCCCUGGAGCCGGAUCUCCUAAUAUUUUAACAUGCCAUAAAAAUGACCUAAGGAAUAAUAGUCUCUACCACGCCAUGAUUGUUCCUCGUUAUUUUACGUUUUAGGGCCAAAACACUGGAAUUCUUCUCGAUUCUUAGAAUUUUGUGUGUUAUAGCCCAAGCCUUCCGCAUGGUCCUAGGGGCCCGGGCUACUGGAACAGGACCGCCUAAAAAUUUUCCGAUCAUAAAAAACAACCUGAGGAACAAUAAUCGCCGCCCCGCCGUGACCGUUCCUUAUUGUUUUGCAUUUUAGGGACAUAGAUCUGGAAUUCCGCUCGAUUCCCAGAUUUUUGUGUGCUAUAGCCCACGCCUCCCGCAUGGGCUCGGGCCCCUAGACCAGAAUCUCCUAAAAGUUUUCCAUACCAUCAAAAAUAACCUAAGGAACAAUAGUCAUCGCCGCGCUAUGACCGUUUCUCCUUUUUUACAUUUUAGGGCCAUAAAUUUUGAAUUUCGCUUGAUUCCUAGCUUUUCGUGUGCUAGCCCAUUCCUUCCGCAUGGGCCCAGGCCCCCGGACCAAGAUCACCUAAAAUUUUCCUGGAACAUCAAAAGCGACCUGAUGAACAAUAGUUACCACCCCGCCAUGACCGUUCCUCAUUUUUGAUAUUUUAGGAACAUAAAACUGGAAUUUUUUUCGAUUCCCAAAUCUUCGUGUGCUAUAACCCACUCCUUCCAUAUUGGCCCGGGCCCCCAGACCUGGGUUGCCUAAAACUUUUCUGGGCCAUCAAAAAUAACUUAAGGAACAAUAGUCAUUGCCCGGCCAUGAUCGUUCCUCAUGUUUUGGCAUUUUAGGACCAUAAAACUAGAAUUUCGCCUAAUUCCCGGAUUUUCGUAUGUUAUAGCCCACUCUUUCUGCAUGGGCUUAGUCCCCCGACCUAGAUCGCCUAAAUUUUUUCUUGGGCCAAUUAAAAUGACCUAAGGAACAAUAGUCACCUCCCCUCCAUGACUGUUCCUCAUUUUUUUGCGUUUGAAGGCCAUAAAACGAGAAUUCUUCCCGAUUCCCAGAUAUUCGUGUGCUAUAGCCCACGCCUUCCGUGUAGGCCCGGGCCAAUGGACCCGAACCGUAUAAAAUGUAUCCGGACCAUGAAAAUCGACUUAUGUAAUAUUGGUCACUGCCCCUCGAUGACCGUUCCUUGUGUUUGGCGUUUUGGGGCCAUAAAAUGAGAAUUCGACCCAAUUGCCAUAUUUACGUGUGCUAUAGCGCACGCCUUCCGCGUGGUCCCUGGCUCAUGGACCCGGAUCUCCUAAAAUUUUUUCAGACCAUCAAAAAUGACCUAAGAAAUAUUGGUCAUCGCCUUGCCAGGAUCGUUCCUUAUUUUUUGGCAAUAUAGGGCCGUAAAAUGAGAAUUCGGCCCGAUUCUCAUAUUUUACCUGUGCUAUAGCCCACGCCUUCCACGUGGGCCCGAGCCCCCAGACCAGGACCGCCUAAAAAAACUUCAAACUAUCAAAAAUGUCCUUAGAAACAAGAGACACCUCCCCCUGUGACCGUUUCUCGUUUAUUGACAAUUUAGGGUCAUAUAUUUGGAAUUUCGCCCGAUUCUUAGAUUUUCGUGUGCUAUAGCCCACUCCUUCCGCAUGGACUCGGGCACCCAGACCUGGAUCACCUAAAAUUUUUCCUGCCCAUCAAAAGUGACCUAAGGAACAAUUAACACCACCACGCCAUGACCAUUCCUCGUUUUUUAGCGUUUUAGAGCUACAAAACAAGAAUUCAGCCUGAAUCCCAUAUUUUCGUGUUCUAUAGCCUACGCCUUCCGCGUGGGCCCAAGCCGUCGAACCCGGACCAUAUAAUAUUUUUCUAUCCAUCAAAAAUAACCUAAGGAACAAUAAUAAAAGCCCUGCCACAAUCGUUCCUAGUUGUUUGGCAUUUUAGGGCCAUAAAACUAGAAUUUCGCCUGAUUCCCAGAUUUUCGUGUACUAUAGCCUGCGCCUUCUGCAUGGGUCCGGGCCCCUAGAACAGGAUCGCCUAAAAAUUUUCCAAACCAUCAAAAACAACCUAAGGAAUAAUAGUCAUCGACCCGCUAUAACCGUUCCUAGUUGUUUGGCAUUUUAGGGCUAUAAAUUUGGAAUUUCACCUGAUUCGUAGAUUUUCGUGUGCUAUAGCUCACUCCUUCCGCAUGGGCCCGGGCCCCCGGACCAGGAUCGCCUAACAUUUCCCUAGACCAUCAAAAGCGACUUAAGGAACAAUAGUCACUACUGCACCAUGACCGUUUCUCGUUUUUUGGCCUUUUAGGGCCAUAAAACUGGAUUAACGCCUAAUUCCUAGAUUUUCAUGUGUUAUGCUUAUGACUUCCGCAUGGGCUCGAGCCCCCAGACCUGGAUCAUCUAAAAAAUUUCGGACAAUAAAAAAGUCCUAAGGAAUAAUAGUAACUUCCUCGCAAUGACCGUUCCUCGUGUUUUGGCAGUUUAGGGCCAUACAACUGGAAUUUUGCCCGAUUCUCAAAUUUUUGUGUACUAUAGCCCACUCCUUCCGCAUGGUCCCGGUCACCCAAACCUGUAUAGCCUAAAAUUUUCCUAGGUCAUCAAAAAUGACUUAAGGAGCAAUAGCCAUUGCACUGCUAUGAUGAUUUCUCGUUUUUUGGUAUUUUAGGGCCAUAAAGCUAAAAUUUUGCCUCAUUCCUAGAUUUACGUGUGCUAUAACCCACUCCUUCUGCAUGGGACCAAUCCCCCUUGACUCAGAACGCCUAAAAUUUUCCAAUGCCAACAAAAAUGACUUAAGGAACAAUAGUCACCUUCCCUCCAUGACUGUUCCUCAUUUAUUGGCGUUUUAAAGCCUUAAAAUGAGAAUACGGCCUGUUUCCCAUAUUUCGAUGUGCUAUAGCUCACACCUUCUGUGUGGACUCUGAACAAUGGACCCGGACUGCAUAAAAUUUAUCUAGACCAUGAAAAUCAACCUAUGAAAUAUUGGUCACAGUCCUGCCAUAAUAGUUCCUCCUUCUUUUGAAUUUUUGGGGCCAUAAAUUGAGAAUUCGACCUAAUUCCCAUAUUUUCGUGUGUUAUAGCCCACGCCUUCCGCGUGGGCCCUGACCCUGGAUUCGGACCACCUAAACAAUUUUCGGACCAUCAAAAAAGAUCUAAGGAAUAUUGAUCACCUCCCAUCCAUGAUCAUUCCUCGUGUUUUUGCGUAUUAGGGCCAUUAAACGAGAAUUCGGUCUCAUUCUCAUAUUUUCGUGUGCUAUAGCCCACGCCUUUUGGCGUGUGCACGGGCCCCCGGACUAUGACCGCCUAAAAGUUUUUUGUACCAUCAAAAACUAUCUUAGGAACAAUAGUCACUGCCCCACUGUGACCGUUCCUUAUUUUUGGCAUUUUAGGGCCAUAAAUUUUGAAUUUCGCCUGAUUCCAAGAUUUUCAUGUGCUAUCCACUCCUUCCGCAUGGACUCGGGCCCCCGAAUAAGGAUUGCCUAAAAUAUUCCCGGACCAUCAAAAGUGACAUAAGGAACAAUUGUCACCGUUGUGCCAUGAGCGUUCCUCGUUUUUUGGCGUUUUAAGGCCAUAAAAUUGGAAUUUUGCGUGAUUCCUAGAUUUUCGUGUGCAAUAGCUUAUGCCUUCCGCAUGGGCCCGGGAUCCCAAACCCGGAUCACCUAAAAUUUCUCUGGACCAUGAAAAUUACCUAAUGAAUAAUAGUCACUACCUCGCUAUGAUCGUUCCUCGAAUUUUAGCAUUUUAGAGCCAUAAAACUAUCAUUCCACCUAAUUUUCAGAUUUUCGUCUGAUAUAGCUUGUGCCUCUGCAUGGGCCCGGCCCCUAGAUCCGGAUCGCCUAACAAGAUUUCGGACCAUAAAAAUGACCUAAGAAAUAUUAGUCAUCGUCCUGCCAUGACCGUUCCUCAUAUUUUGGCAAUUUUGUGCCAUAAAAUUUGAAUUUCGCCUGAUUCCCAGAUAUACGUGUGAUAUAGCCCACUCCUUUCGUAUAGCCUUGGGCCCCCGGAUCCGGAUCGCCUAAACAUUUUUCCGAGCCAUCAAAAAUGACUAUCGGAACAAUAGUCACUACCUCACCAUGAAUGUUUAGAACCAUAAAACUUAAAUUUCACCCGAUUUCCAGAAUUUCAUGUGUUAUAGCCCACACCUUCUGUAUGGGCCCGGGCCCCCAGACCAGGAUUGGAUAAAAAAAAUUCGGACCAUCAAAAACAACCUAAGAAACUAUAAUCACCACCCCGCCAUGAUCGUUCCUCAUAUUUUGGCAUUGUUUGGCAAUAAAAUUGGAAUUUUGCCCGAUUCCAAGAUUUUUGUGUGAUAUAGCCCACUCCUUCCGCAUGGGCCCGGGUCACCGACCCGAAUCGCCUAAAAUUUUCUAGGGCCAACAAAAACAAACUAAGGAAUAAUAGUCACCUCCCCCCACGACCGUUCCUAGUUUGUUUUGUCUUUUAGGUUCAUAAAAUCAAAAUUCUGCCCGAUUUCCAGAUUUUUGUGGGUUAUAGCCCAGGCCUUCCGCAUUGGCCUGGGCACCUGAACCGGAUCGCCAACAAUUUUCCCGAGCCAUCAAAACCGACCUAAGGAACAAUAGUCACCGCCCUGCCAUGACCGUUCCUCAUUUUUGGCCUUUUAGAGCCAUAAAUUAGAAUUCCAUUCAAUUCCCAGAUUUUCGUAUGCUAUAGCCCACUCCUCCCACAUGGGCUCAAGCCUCCGGACCCGAAACGCCUAAAAUAUUUCGUGCAUUCAAAAAAAAAACUUAAGGAACAAUUGUCACCACCAUGCCAUGACUGUUCCUCGUUUUUAGUAUUUUAGUGUCAUAAAACUGUAAUUUUGCCCGAUUCUCAAAAUUUUGUGUGUUAUAACCCACUCCUUCCAGAUAAACCUGGACCCGCCGACCCUUAUCACCUAAAAUUUUCCAAGCCAACAAAAACAACCUAAGGAAUAAUAUUCACCUUCCCCCAUGACUGUUCCUAUUUUUUUGGCAUUUUAGUGCCCUAAAAUUGGAAUUCCGUGUGAUUCACAAAUUUUUGUGUGCUAUAGCACAUGCCUUUCGCAUGGGCCCGAGCCCCCAGACCUGGAUCGCCUAAAAUUUUUUCGGACCAUCAAAUACGAUCUAAGAAAUAAUAGUCACCGACCCUCCAUGACCGUUCCUCAUUUUUUGACGUUUUAGUUCCAUAAAAAUGGAAUUCCGUUCAUUUCUCAUUUUUUUCGUGUGCUAUAGCCCACCUCUCCCGCAUGGCCCCAGGCCCCCGUACCCGGAUCAUCUACUAUUUUACCGUGCCAUAAGAAAUCACCUAUGGGACUGUCACGACCCAAACUGAUGGGCCGCGACGGGCACCCGGUGCCUUACUCAACCGAGUACCAACAUUACAUAUCCUUCUUAUCGUACUAUCAUUGGCAAAUGGGCCAAACGGGCUAUCAUGGGCUAGCCAGAAUAAACAUAAGGGAAUACUCAAUAUAAGACGACCCAAUAUGAUAUAAAAACUUAUACAUUUGACAUACGGGCCUAUAAGGCCACAAUGAGCACUCGUACACUGAAAAUAGGCCGACAAGGCCAUACAACCUUUCAUAUACAUGACAUCUGUCUAUAAGCCUCUAAGAAUACAUAAUUUUCAUAAAGGUCGGGACAAAGCCCCGCCAUACCAAUCAAUACAUAUCUUAAUCAUACUGGCCAAAUAGCAACUCCGGAGCAAUUGGAGCGCACCAACACCUUCCGCUGAGCUGAUAGCCUACCUGGAGGACUCUCGACCUAGCUAUCGGGACCUGCGGGCAUGAAACGCAGCGUCCCCAGCAAAAGGGAUGACAGUACAAAUAAUGUACCGAGUAUGUAAGAAAUAAAAAUCAGUAAACAAUAGAUAUGAGAGAAACAUGGAGUAAAAGACAUGUAAAUCUGAAUAACUCUAUGAAUCAUUAAUAUUUACAAUGCCAUGCAUAUGCGUAUAAAUGUCAUACCAUUCAUAGGUAUAUGCGUACAAAAUAUCAUCAAGCCUCUGAGGGCAUCCCAUCAUAUCAUCUCGGCCACUGUGGGCAAAUCAUCAACGUAUACCAGCUGAUCAGGUGGUGAUGCGUAUAUAACACCGUAACCUUUUUCCAUAUCCCAUAUACAUAUAAUAUACGCGUAUAUAACGCCAUCUGGUCAUGGGUCAAUGUAUAUGUAUAAAUACAUAAAAUGCAUAAGAAGUGUGUUAAUAAGAUUUCUCAAAAUGUCAUAAAAUCAAUAUGCCUUUCAGAUAAACUUUAUCAAAUACGUAUUUUUCUGAGACCCACGAACAGAAGAUAUAAUAAUAAUUCACAUGGGAAAUCAAUAACAUAGGCACCCCUAGUACUUCUAUGAAUAGAGUCAUUUAUGACAGUUGUGUGUUUGCCCAUUUCGUUUGUAUCAUAUGAAUCAUGCCAAAAAGAAAGAAGGGAUAGCCUUAACAUACCUGAGUCGAUUCUCUUGACAAUCCCUCUAACACACGUUAAUUGCGACAAAAUACGUGACGGCAAGAUCGGAGUAGGAAAAAAUCGUAUGAUAUUCUUGAGAAAGAUUAUACCGUGCUCUCUUAGAAUUACAAAUCCCGUUGCUAUUACGCAAUAUAACUUCGUAUGAAUUCCUUAAUGAAGUAAAGAGAAAGAGAUCUUUAAAAGUGGUGAGCUUCAUCCAUUCUUAGCAAGCUUAGUAUCUUAAUGAGAUAAGGAACCUCUAAAUUUGUUGGUUUUUUGUGGGCCCCACAUUAGGAAAUGAUUUGGCCACCAAAUUCUUUAGAUGUGCCACAUAUUUUUAAUAACUAAUGAGUCAUUGCUUGGGCUGCCACAUUAGGCACCUUAAGCUUAUCCAAAAUUAUCAUCAAUUAACCGCUAAUCUCUUGAUUAACUUGAUAAUCUCCCACUAACCAAUAAUUAACCAAUUACUCAUAUAAUUAAGAAUUAUCUCAACUUACUUAUAAUACUACUCAUUUUUAACACACUUUAUAUAUCUUAUUAUCAUGGUCAUGUGGUACCUUGUAUGACACUAGUCCAUAUAUACAGGGUAUUGUAGCUUGGACCGUAUUUUAUCUCAAAAUAUCAAACUUCGACGAAAUUCAUUUUCCUCGAUUCGCUUACCCUUUCACCUUCACGAAUUUACUUAUCACUUAUUUGAAAUAGCAUAAUACUUAUAACUUCAAAAUAAUCUCAUUCCCGAGCUUACGUCGAUUAACUUACGACGAAACAUUAACGUACGAAAAUGCGGGAUGUAACAUCUCAUUUUCAAGCUUUCAUCAAUUUACUUAUGGCAUACUUUCACGUACGAAAUUAUGGGGUGUAACAGGAACAAUAGUUACCUCCACACCAUGACUGUUUCUUGAUUUUUUACGAUUUAGGGAUAUAAAGUUGGAAUUCCGCUCGAUUCCUAGAUUUUCGUGUGUUGUACGUCUUUCGCACAAGCCCGAGGGCACUGACUCCUGGAUCCGGAUUGCCUAAAUAUAUUUUGGCCAUCAAAAAUAACCUAGGGAAUAAUAGUCACUGCCCUGCCACGAUCGUUCCUCAUUUUUGGCGUUUUAGGGCCAUAAGACUAGAUUCCGCCUGAUUCCCAGAUUUUCGUGUGCUAUAGCCCAUGCCUUUCGCAUGGGCCCGAGCCUCCGACCUGGAUCGCCUAAAAAUAUUCUAACCAUCAAAAACAAUCUAAGGAACAAUAGUCACUGCCCCGCCAUGACCGUUCCUCGUUUAUUGGCAUUUUAGAGCCAUAAAACUGGAAUUCUACGCAAUUCUCAUAUUUUUGUAUGUUAUACCCCAUGCCUUCUGCAUGGGCCCGGGCCCCCAGAUUAAGAUUGUCUAAAAUUUUUCCGGGCCAUAAAAACGAGCUCAGUAGCAAUAUUCACCGCGCCGCCAUGACUGUUCCUCGGUUUUUGGCGUUUUAGGGCUAUAAAACUGGAAUUCCGCCCGAUUCCAAGAUUUUCGCGUGCUAUAGCACACGACUUCCGCAUAGGCCCCGGCCCCCAGACCAGUAUCGCCUAAAAUAUUCUCUGGCCAUUAAAAAUGACCUAAGAAAAUAUAGUCACUGUCCCGCCAUGACCGUUCUUCAUUUUUUGGCGUUUUAGGGCCAUAAAUUAUGAAUUUCGCCUAAUUACUAGAUUUUCAUGUGCUAUAACCCACUCCUUCCGCAUACGCCCGGGCUCCCAGACCAGGAUCGCUUGAAAUUCGUACCAUCAAAAAUAACCUAAGGAACAAUAGUUACCGCCGCUCCAUGACCGUUGCUUAUUUUUUGGCGUUUUAAGGCUAUAAAACUAAAAUUCCGAACCCGGAUCGCCAGAAACAAUUCUCAAUUUUUUGUGUGUUAUAGCUCACUCCUUCGCCCGAGCCUCCGAACCCGGAUUGCCUAUGAAAUUUUUGUUCUAUAAAAAAUAACCUAAGGAUUAAUAGUCACCACCCUACCAUGAUCGUUCCUCGUUUUUGGAAAUUUAGAGCCAUAAAACUGUAAUUUUGUCCAAUUCUGAAAUUUUCGUGUGUUAUAGCUCACUCCUUCCGUAUAAACCCGGACCCCCUCGCCUGGAUCACCUAAAAGUUUCCAGGGCCUUCAAAAAUGACCUAAGGAGUAAUAUUCACCUCUCCUCCAUGACCGUUCCUUAUUUUUGAACGUUUUAGGGUCAUAAAACUAGAAUUUCGUUUGAUUUCCCGGACAAUAAAAAACGAUCUAAAGAACAAUAGUCACUACCCUGCCAUGACCGUUCCUCGUAUUUUUGGCAUUUUAGGUCCAUAAAAAUGGAAUUCCGCCUGAUUCUUAAAUUUUUGUGUGCUAUAUAGCCCACCCCUCUCGCAUGGCCCCGGUCCCCCGGACCCGGAUCGUCUAAUAUUUUUUCGUGCCAUCAAAAACGACCUAAGUAACAAUAGUUACCACCCCACCAUGAUCGUUCAUCAUUUUUUGGCGUUUUAGGUCUAUAAAAAUGAAAUUCCGCCUGAUUCUCAUAUUUUUCGUGUGCUAUAGCCCAUGCCUCCUGCAUGGGCUCGGGCCCUCGGAUCCAGAUCAUCUAAUAUUUUCCCGUGCUUUCACAAACGACCUAAGAAAUAAUAGUUAUCGCCCCACCAUGACUGUUCCUCGGUUUUCUACGAUUUAGGGCCAUAAAACUGGAAAUUCGCUCGAUUCCCAAAUUUUCGUGUGUUAUAUCUUACACCUUCCGCAAGGCCCGGGGACACUAGCUCCCGGAUCCGGAUCGCCUUAAUAUAUUUUUUUCAUCAAAAACGACCUAAGGAAUAAUAGUCACCGCCCUGCCACGAUCGUUCCUCAUGUUUUGACAUUUUAGGGCUAUAAAACUAGAUUUUUCGUAUGAUUCCCAAAUUUUUAUGUGCUACAGCCCAUGCAUUUCGCAUGGGCCCGAGCCCCCGGACCUGCAUCGCCUAAAAAUUUUCCGGUCCAUCAAAACCUAUCUAAGAAAUAAUAGUCACUGCCCCGUCAUGACCAUUCCUCGUUUAUUGGUGUUUUAGGACCAUUAAAACUGAAAUUCUACUCGAUUAUAACAUGUUCGUAUACCAUAGCCCACGCCUUUCGCAUGGGCACGGGCCCUCGAAAUCGGAUUGUCUAAAAAUUUUCUAGGCCAUAUAAAUGACCUAAGGAAUAAUAGUCCCCGCCCUGCCAUGACUGUUCCUCGUUUUUUGGCGUUUUAGGGCGAGAAAACUGGAAUUCUGCCCGAUUCAUAGAUUUUCGUGUGCACACGCCUUCUACAUGGGCUCGGGCCUCCGAAUCUAUAUCGCCUAAUUUUUUUUUUGGGCCAUCAAAAAUGAUCUAAGGAACAAUAGCCACCGCCCUGCCCUGACCAUUCCUUGUUUUUGGACAUUUUAGUGCCAUAAAACUGGAAUUCCGCUCAAUUUUUAGAUUUUCAUGUGUUGUAGCCCACGCCUUCCGCAUAGGCACGGGCUCCCGGACCAAGAUCACCUAGAAUUUUUCUGGACUAUCAAAAAUGACCUAAGGAACAAUAGUCACCGCCCCUCCAUGAUCGUUUCUCAUUUUUAGCGUUUUAGGGCCUUAAAACUGGAAUUUCGCCUGAUUUUCUAAAUUUUCGUGUGCUAUAGCCAAGGCCUUUCGCAUGGGACUGGGCCUCCGGACCCGGAUAGCCUAUAAUUUUCACGGAUCAUCAAAAGCGACCUAAGGAAUAAUAGUCACCAUCCCGCCAUGACUAUUCCUUGUUUUUAGAUAUUUUAGGACCAUAAAACUGGAAUUUUGCUUGAUUUCUAAAUUUUCGUGUGCUAUAGCACACACCUUUUGCAUGGGCCAGGACCCCCAGAUACAGAUUGCUCAAAAACUUUCGGGUCAUAAAAAUGACCUAAGGAACAAUAGUCACUGCCCUACUAUGAUCGUUCCUCAUUUUUGGCAUUUUAAGGCCAUAAAACUGAAAUUCAACCCGAUUUUCAGAUUUUCGUGUGCUAGAGCCCAUGCCUUCCGCAUGGGCUUAAGCUCCCAGACCCAGAUGAUCACCAAACAAAUUUCGGUCCAUCAAAGACAACCUAAGGAACAAUAGUCACCGCCCCCACAUGACCAUUUCUCGUUUUAUUUUGGGCAUUUUAGGGCCAUAAAACUGGAAUUUUGUCUGAUUCCCAAAUUUUCGUAUGCUAUGGCCCACACCUCAGCAUGGACCCGGGCCUCCGGAUGAGGAUCGCCUAAAAAGUUUUCGGGCUAUCAAAAACGACCUAAGGAACAAUAGUCACUGCCCUGCCAUGGCCGUUCCUCGUUUUUUGGCGUUUUAGGGUUAUAAAACUUGAAUUCCGCCCGAUUCUCAAAUUUUCGUGUGCUAUGGCCCACGCUUUCUGCAUGGGCACGUGCUCCCGGACCUGGAUCGCCUAAAAUUUUUCCGGACCAUCAAAAAUGACCUAUGGAAGAAUAGUCACCACCCCGCCAUGACUAUUCCUCGUUUUUUGGCGUUUUAGGGCCAUAAAACUGGAAUUUCGCUCGAUUUCUAGAUUUUCGUGUGCUAUACGCCUUCCGCAUGGACCCAGGCCCCCGUAUCUGGAUCGCCUAAAAAUUUCUCGUACCAUCAAAAACGACCUUAGGAACAAUAGUUACCGCCCCGCCAUGACUGCUCCUCGUUUUUUGGUAUUUUAGGACCAUAAAAUUGGGAUUCCGCCCGAUUUUCAGAUUUUCGUGUGCUAUAUAUAGCCCACGCCUUCCGCAUGGAUCCGGUCCCACAAACCGGGUCGCCUAUAAUUUUUCCGGGCCAUCAAAUACGACUAUGGAUCUCUCUUUCAAUAGAUUUUGUGGGAAACUACCAGCAGUCUUGUUGAAAAUUUUCAAGUCAUGAAAAUAAUUGAUGAGAACAUGAGAACCCUAAGGUACGUUGGAGAUCAAUAUAUUGGUAAUUUUAAUUAUGAUGUAUUUCUGUCAAUUAAGACAAAGGGAUCGGAUCUUGAAUAUCAUCAAGUUUUGAUUGAAAACAAGAUUAUCAAUCUCAGAGAAUAGAUUUAAAGGUUAUAUUCCAAGUACUAUUGGAGAUCUCACUGCACUUCAUGCGUUGAAAUUAUCUCAUAAUAACUUAGAAGGUCUUAUACCAGCCACUUCGUGCGUUGAAAUUACCUCAUACUAGCUUAGAAGGUCUUAUACCAGCGCCAGUGCAACAUUUAUCAGUACUUGAAUUAUUGGAUCUCUCAUGUAACGAAAAUUGCCGAGUUCUGCAACAACUUGCAUCCGUCACAUCGCUUGAAGUCAGAAGACAAGCAAAUCCAAGAAAAUGUUGUAACUGCUAUUCUUAACCUUUCUAUAUAUGACGACAACAAAGGGAUUAUAAUGCUUAAUUGCUGUCACAACGAAACCAAACAAAUUAUUAUAAUGCAACCUCCGAGAAGGAUAGAAGCCAAGAAACAAUAUAGUCUUUUGUAGUGAAUUUAGGUAAUGUUAGUACAAUGAUUAUUUGGUUUACGUAUUUCAGACAUGAUUAUUUGGUUUACGUAUGUCAGACUCCAAUUUAGAAACAACUAGAACCUACAAUAUCUCAGACUUAUGAGAUACCAGAAAAUGUAUGAUGGAGUCGUGUUAUAUCGUAUGUAUUUCAAGCUAUUUACUAGACCGUAUCUGGAAAGGCUUCCAUUAAGUAUCUUCACCUUCUUCCUAAAAAGUGAUCUCUGGAGCAUAGACUCAUAAACUAGUGCAACAAUACCAUGCAUCUGCAAAUUUAUUCCAGAAAUAUACCAUGGAUUUGCAAGUGUUAUAUUAAUAUAUAAUAGCAGUAUGUAAGGAUCGGAAACCCGGGUAGUACGGAAUUUAGUCAAACAAUGUUAUAAUGACAAUAACAAAGACAAUGCAAGUUGAUAAUAAUGGUAAUUAAAGCAUAUAAAGAAGGCAUCAAUUUAACGUGGUUCGGUCAUUGUGACCUACGUCCACAAGCGGAAAGAAAUAAUUUCACUAUAGCAACAAGAGUACAAAAGAGAGCAUAAAAUUAGAGUAAAUACUCUAAUUAAUUCCAAAUAUCCCAAGAUAAUAACCACACAAGAUCACUCCAAAGAAAAGGUUCACGCAAGUAUUUUUCAGCACUCAACUCUCUUAUAAAACCUCUAUAAUGAAAGAAAGAAAAGGCAAGAGACGUUUGUCUCAAACUUAGGUGUAUUUGAUAUGGACAUUUGCUAGCCUAUUUAUAAGAAAAUAGAUGGUCAUUGUAUGGAAUAUGAUUGGCCAGCAAGGCCUUUAAUGAAUGGACAUAAAAUGUCCAACAAGUGACCAAUGAAAGACCAUAGAAAAGCCAACAAGGCUUAUAGUCUAUGGCCAAAAGUAGGCCACGUAUAUCACAAAUCUCCACCUUGGACUAGUUUUGGCUGAUAUAAUAAAAUUGCUCUUCGUUCUCCGCAAAAGCCCCAGUGGGCGAAAUCAUUCUUCAUAAAUGCCAAUCAAGUUCACACAAAGUUUGAACUUGAAAACUGGAAGAGGCUUCGUAAACAUGUCAGCAGGAUUGUCUCUAGUGUUGAUCUUCUGAACAAAGACUUUUCCUUCAGUAAUGGUUUCUCGGAUGAAGUGAUAUUUGAUAUCAAUGUGUUGCGUCCUCUCAUGAUACAUCUGAUUUUUAGUCAAGUGAAUUGGACAUUGACUAUCACAGAAAAUGGUAAUACCACCUUGGUGUGAACUGAGUUCAGCAAAUAGACCCUUCAACCAUAAGGCUUCUUUGAUCGCCUCGGUCACUGCCAUAUAUUCUGCUUCGGUAGUAGAUAAAGCUACUACAUGUUGUAAUGUAGUUUUUCAACUAAUAGCGCAACCACCAAUGCAAACUACAUAGCAUGUCAGUGAUCUUCUUUUGUCAAGAUCACCUGCAUAAUCUGAGUCUACAAAACCAACCAAAGUAUUAGUAUUUCUUCCAAACUCCAAACAUGUGUUUGAAGUACCUUGCAAGUAUCUGAGAAUCUAUUUCAUAGCCUGUCAAUGUGCUAUACCAGGGCAAGCCAUAUAUCGUCUUACCACGCUCACUACUUCUGAAAUGUCUAGACGUGUACAAACCAUUGCAUACAUAAUACUGCCGACUGCACUGGAAUAAGGUACAUGUGACAUAUACCUCUCUUCUUCCUCUGACUGCGGGGACUGAGCAGCUGAUAACUUAAAAUAAGUAGCAAGAGGGGUACUCACUGGUUUAGCAUCUUUCAUGCCAAACCUCCCCAAGACUUUUUCCAAGUACUUCUUCUGGGUCAGGAAUAGCUUGUUGGCUCCUCGAUCUCUUUUGAUCUCCAUGCCAAGGAUUUUCUUAGCUGCUCCCAAAUCUUUCAUCUCAAAUUUACUUUUCAACUGACUUUUCAAAUUGUGAAUUUCUAUUAAAUCCUUAGCAAAAAUGAUCAUGUCAUCAACAUAUAAUAAUAGGUACACAAAUGAACCAUCAUUUAACUUUCGGAAGUAAACACAACUAUCAUACAUGCUCCUUGAAUAACCAUGACCCAAAAUAAAGGAAUCAAACCUUUUAUACCAUUGUCUUGGAGACUGCUUUAAUCCGUAAAAGAAUUUCUUCAACAAGAAAACAUGAUCUUCUUUUCCUUGAAUUUUAAAUCCUUCGGGUUGAUGCAUGUAUAUUUGUUUCUCAAGUUCGCCAUUUAAGAAAGCUGUCUUAACGUCAAGUUGUUCUAAUUCCAAAUCAUACAUGGCAACGAUGGCAAACAAGAUACUAAUAGAGCUAUGUUUAACAACAGGUGAGAAAAAAUUAUUAAAAUCAACUCCUUGUACCUGACUAUAACUCUUUGCAACUAAUCGUGCCUUAUACUUUGCAUCUUAAACCCCUGGAAUUCCAUUUUUUUCUUGAAUACCCAUUUGCAACCAACAAUUCUUUUUUCCUGAAGGCGGCUUCACAAGAGACCAAGUACCAUUCAUGUGGAGAGACUCAAUUUCUUCAUUCAUUGCAAUCAGCCACUUGGCUGAGUCGGCACCAGAAACUGCUUCUGAAUAUUUUGAUGGUUCUCCAAUUUCUUCAGUUUCCUCUGCAACUGAAAAAGCAAAUGCAACAUAAUCUCUAAACCCUAAUGGUUGUUUACCUUCUCUUCUUGGUCUAUAUUUGGCUAUAGAAUACUCCUCUUCUUCUGGUUCAACUUCAGGAAUUUCAGCUUCUGGCUCAACUUUAGGAAUUUCAGCUUCUGGCUCAACUUCAGGAGUUUCAACUGUAUUUAGCUCCACAGUUGAUGAGCUUGGCUCAGAAGAAAUGCUAAUCUCAACCUUCACCUCUUUUUGUGUACUCUUUCCUUUAUCUAUAUUACAAGAACUAGAAGACUUUUUUCUAGGAUGUAAUAUAGAGGAUUCAUUAAAGGUUACAUCUCUGCUAAUUAUAAAUUUUGGUGUCGUGGAUCAGGAUACCAUAAUCGGUAUCCUUUCACCCCAGAUGCAUACCCAAAGAAAAUAUACUUUUUAGCCCUUGGCUCUAAUUUUUCAUCAUUUACAUGCAUGUAUGGAGGGCAACCAAAUAUCUUUAAAUUAGAAUAAUUAGCAGGAAUACCUGACCACAUUUCCUCUGGAGUCUUAAAGCUCAAAGGUGCAGAAGGAGCUCGGUUGACAAUAUAACAGGCUGUAGAGAUAGCUUCUGCCCAAAAGGCAUUUGUCAACCCAGCAUUUGAAAUCAUGCAACGAGCCCUUUCCAAAAGAUUUCUAUUCAUCCUUUCUGCCACACCAUUUUGCUGAGGUGUUAUUCUCACAGUACGAUGUCGAGCAAUUCCUUCAUUCUUGCAAAAUUCGUUGAAUUCAUCAUUACAAAAUUUCAAUCCAUUAUUUGUUCUAAGCCGCUUAACCUGUUUUCCUAUUUGCUUCUCAAUCAAAACUUUCCAUGUUUUGAAAUUUAAGAAAACAUUACUUUUAUUUUUUAGAAAAUAAAUCCAAACUUUCCUUGAAUAAUCAUCAAUGAAAGUUAACAUAUACCUGGCACCAUCUUUUGAUGGGGUACAUGAAGGACCCCAAAGAUCUGAAUGAAUGUAAUCCAAAGUACCUUUUGUUCUAUGAAUCGCUGGAGAUUUGAAGCUGACUCUUUACUGCUUCCCGAACACACAAUGUUCACAGAACUCUAUAUUUCUGGUACUUUGAUCAUAUAAGAGACCUCUUUUGCUGAGGAUGGAAAGAUUUUUUUUCUCCCAUAUGCCUCAAUUGCAUAUGCCACAAUUUGGUGAUGUCAGAAUCUGAUUUAUCUGAUAUUGAAUCUACAGCAGCACCUGUAACAGUAGAUACCAAAAGAGUAUACAAUGUACCAGAUUUGCGUGAUUUCAUGAUCACAAGAGCACCAUGAGAAAUUUUCAGAACUUCACCUUCACCUGUGUACUUACACCCAAGAGAUUCUAGAGUGCCCAAAGAGAUAAGAUUUUUCUUCAAGUCAAGAACAUGUCUAACAUCGGUGAGAGUUCUCACCACACCAUCAUGCAUUUUGAUUCGGACUGUACCUUUUUCAAUAACUUUACAGGCAAUAUUGUUGUUGCCCAUCAAGACAACUCCACCUCCAAUAGAUUCAUAUGUGGUAAAUAUAUCCCGAUUGGGACACAUAUGAUAAGAACAACUCGAAUUUAAAAUUCACUCAUUGUUAGAUUUGAAACUAUUAUUAGUUGCUAAAAAAAUAGUUCCCUUAGUCUAAUCAGCAGCUACACUUGCUUUGGCAGUGUCAGUAUUUUUGUGCUCAUUUUUCUUGUUUGUAUGCUUUUCUUUGUUUUUCAAUUUAAAGCAUUCAAAAAUAAUGUGACCUUUCUUAUGACAAUAUUUGCACAUGACAUUUCUGUAUCUAGAUUUUGACCUUGAUUUAUGUUUUUCACUACUUGAAUCUUUUUUAUUGGAUCUACCUCUUAUGAAUAAGCAUUUCCCUUGGUUCCUACUAGUUUUCCCAGUAAUAUCUCUAUCUAUUUGUUCUUUUGAUUUCAAAAUAGAUUUGAUAUUUUUAUAAGAGAUAUUACCCUUUCUAUAAAUCAUAAUAUCUCUUAUAUGUUUAAACGACUGGGUAGGAAACAAGCAAUAACACAGCUUGAUCCUCAUCUUUGAUUUCAGCAUCUAUGUUACUUAAAUCCAUAAGAAGAGAAUCAAAAGUAUCAAGAUCUGUAAGUAUAGAGGUACCUUCAGCCAUACGAAAAGUGAAGAGUUUUUGCUUUAGGUAAAGCCUGUUUUCUACUGUUCUUUUCAUAUAUAUGGUUUUAAGCUUUUCCCGUAUGCCUUUGGCUGAGAUUUCUAUUGCAACUUCACGCAAAACCUCAUUUGAAAGAUUUAAAAUAAUACCUGUUUUUGUCUUUUUGUCUAUGACGGCAAACUCCUCGUCCGUCAUUUUAUCCGGCAUCUUCUCCUUUCCUUGCAAUGCCAAAUCUAAGCCAUCGUGAAUUAGGAUAGCUUCCAUCUUUAAUUUUCACAUUCCAAAGUUUGCAUUUCUGUCAAAUUUCUCAACAUAAGACUUUGUUAGAGUUAUUUUGGCUAUUUAAACUAACCCAGUUAGAUCUGGCACUAAUACCAAUUUGUUAGGAUCGGGAACCCGGAUAGUGCGAAAUUUAGCCAAACAAUGUUAUAAUGACAAUAACAAAGACAAUACAAGUUAAUAAUAAUGGUAAUUAAAGCAUAUAAAGAAGGCACCAAUUUAACAUGGUUCGGUCAGUGUGACCUACGUCCACAAGCGGAGAGGAACAAUUUUACUAUAGUAACAAGAGUACAAAAAAGAGUAUAAAAUUAGAGUAAAUACUCUAAUUAAUCCCAAAUACCCCAAGAUAAUAACCUCACAAGAUCACUCCAAAGAAAAGGUUCACGCAAGUAUUUCCCAAUACUCAACUCUCUUAUAAAACCUCUAUAAUGAAAGAAAGAAAAGGCAAGAGACGUUUGUCUCAAACUUAGGUGUAUUUGAUAUGGACAUUUGCUAGCCUAUUUAUAAGAAAAUAGAUGGUCAUUGUAUGGAAUAUGAUUGGCCAGCAAGGCCUUUAAUGAAUGGACAUAAAAUGUCUAACAAGUGACCAGUGAAAGACCAUAGAAAAGCCAACAAGGCUUAUAGUCUAUGGCCAAAAGUAGGCCAGGUAUAUCACACAGUAGAACAAAAAGGCUAGCGCGGUGCAUAAAACAUCUCGCAUUUUCGGAAACGGCCGGACCCCAAAAGUUGUGAUAUAGAUAGUCUACCCUAACGCAAGUAUUAGUGGUUACUUCCACGGCUUGAAUUCCUGACCUAUAAGUCACAACCAGUGGCGGAUGCAAAAAUUCCGUUAAGGGGGUUCAAAAAAGAAAAGACGUUAAGAAAGAUUGUAGCUUGUGGGAAUUGAAUCAAUGAACUUACAAUGGUUUUAAACCCCCUUGACCACUAAACUAUAUUUUUGGGUUGUUACAAGGGGAUUCAAAACAUAAUAUAUAAAGGUAAAAACCAGAUUUUGUCUUAUAUAUAAAAUAUAAUUUUUCAGCGCCCCUUCCGCCCCCUAAAUCUGCCCCUCGUCACAAAGAGACAAGUUUACUAUUGCUCCAAGGCUCCCCUUAAAAUAUAAUAGCAGUAGAAUAUAUCAAUAUAAAACUUUAAUGAGGAAGAAGGGAAUAAAAACGGAUCCCUAAUUUAGCGGAACCUAAUCUCUUAAAAAACAUUAUUAACAGUACGGAAUUCCCUAAUUAUGCCAAAAAUGUAAAAUAAAAUGCUAUAUUUAAAAAAGUCCAAUAAUUAUGUGUAUAUAUAUUUAAACGAGUAGAUUAUGGGCUCAAACAAAUUUCUACAACUCAACUAAGCGAAAAGAAAAUGAUAUCACUUGGGGUGAAUCAUUAAACUAGACAAAUGGAGGGGCGAAAUCCUUUAUUUUUAUUUUUUUGUUUUAUUGUUAUGUAAAUGGAAACAAUACAUCAUUAACAAAUCAAGCUCUUGUCAUAUAUAAAUAUGUGUAAAAUCCCUCCCCUCAUAUGCCUACUAUUACAUCUAUGGCUUGUAUGGAGAAGGCAUGGGCAUACUCUUAACAAUACCGCAAAGAGGGUGGUUGUCAGGGAGGUUGUACUCAUCCCUCAAGGAGCGAGCUGGUGAGAGAACACUAAAGUAGAGUUGUUGCCCUAAGUAGUACCUCUCCCACAUCUCUGAUCUCAAGUUCCAUAGUCCAGCGUUGUCUAGGGUUGUCAUCACCGCGGCCCAUGAGUUUGGAUAGACUUGGAUGCUGUGCCUGCUUACUGCAUCCACCAAGUUGUAGUUCUUUCUUUUCUCGGCACUCCACUUCCCUGGCUCGAUGGCCACUGCGAAAAAGGAAUAUCCGUCCAAGUGAUAGGUUUGGAUGGUCUUCUCACGGUUCUCAAAGAUGAUCUCUACAAAGUUACGGAAGGUGGCAUUCUUGAUAUUGGGGGCGACGGUCACCUUGUUCAGGUCGUCAGUUUGGGGUUCAUCAGCCAUGAGAUCAUACUUGAACAUCUUCUCGGUGACUCCGAAGUAUUCAGCAAGCUUGAAUGGGGUUUCUGCAGCAUUAGUGUGGGAGAUGCCGUUCAAGGCAAAUCGAAGCUUUCCAUCUACUUCGGUCCUAGAGUUGACAAUCUUGAAAGUACGGGUGAUGUUGAUCUGUCCGUAGUGGUAGGAUCCUUGAGGGUUGGGGCGGGCAGCACUAGCAGUAAGGUUCCAUCUGAAGGAGCGAAACUGGUUAAUGGACCAAGCAAUGCCUUGGGUGUUUUCUGGUGGAGGUGCUGGGAGGUCAGAAGAUGCUGGUCCCUUACCAUUGGCAUAUCGAAUGAUAGCCACGGAAGAGAGUUGCGCUUGCUUCAGGAACCUACUAGAAACAAUCAUGUAAUAGUCCUUGGGCUCUUGAUCAGCAGUGACCAACACCGAAAGGCAUUGACCAACAUGGAGGUCAAGGGACUCAUACACGUUCUGCACAGUGUGGGAUCCCUCCAUUUCCACCAACUUCAUGGGGUGGCCUUGAAUCCUGAAGUUGACUGAUGUCCUCAUGCCAGCAUUGCACACCCUGUACCUAUAGGUCUUGCCAGCCUCCAUGGUGAAGAGUGGCUCAGCAACCUUGUCACCGACCUUGACGGAUUUUCCAUUGAUGUGGAUGCCAUCGGGUCUGCCAAUUGUGCGUCCCCCAUCUAAGAUCUUCUUCAACGACUUGUAACCCUUGUUGUACCAAUCACCCACAAAUACGUUAUAUUCAUCGGCAGGGUUAUCAAAAGGAACGGGAAUAAGGGCACGGCUAUGGACAUUGAUGGCACCAAAACCACCAGCAGCACGAUGCAAGUCUGUUGUGGGGAAGUAGAAGAAGCUACCGAUCUGGUCCUUGACUUGGAAGCGGUAGGUGAAGUUUGUACCGGGCAUG